ensembl:snRNA U6 U6 spliceosomal RNA
GUGCUGGCUUCAGCAACACGUAUACUAAAACUGAAAAGAUGCAGAGGAGAUUAGCAUGGCCCCUACACAAAGACAACAUGCAAAUUCGUGAAGAGGAAACUUCCAUU